GGGGAUAUUGCACAAUGGGGGGAACCCUGAUGCAGCGACGCCGCGUGGGUGAAGGAGCGUUUCGGCGCGUAAAGCCCUAUCGGCAGGGAAGAAGGAGGACGGUACCUGACUAAGAAGCCCCGGCUAACUACGUGCCAGCAGCCGCGGUAAUACGUAGGGGGCAAGCGUUAUCCGGAUUUACUGGGUGUAAAGGGAGCGUAGACGGUUAUGCAAGUCUGGAGUGAAAGCCCGGGGCUCAACCCCGGGACUGCUUUGGAAACUGUAAAACUGGAGUGCAGGAGAGGCAGGCGGAAUUCCUAGUGUAGCGGUGAAAUGCGUAGAUAUUAGGAGGAACACCAGUGGCGAAGGCGGCCUGCUGGACUGUAACUGACGUUGAGGCUCGAAGGCGUGGGGAGCAAACAGG
rnacentral:rRNA from 1 species